UACGUAGGGUGCGAGCGUUGUCCGGAAUUAUUGGGCGUAAAGAGCUUGUAGCGGUUUGUCGCGUCUGCCGUGAAAAUCCGGGGCUCAACCCCGGACUUGCGGUGGGUACGGGCAGACUAGAGUGUGGUAGGGGAGACUGGAAUUCCUGGUGUAGCGGUGAAAUGCGCAGAUAUCAGGAGGACACCGAUGGCGAAGGCAGGUCUCUGGGCCACUACUGACGCUGAGAAGCGAAAGCAUGGGGAGCGAACAGG
rnacentral:rRNA from 1 species